UACAGAGGUCUCAAGCGUUGUUCGGAUUCAUUGGGCGUAAAGGGUGUGUAGGUGGCGCGCUAAGUCGGGUGUGAAAUUUCGGAGCUUAACUCCGAAACUGCAUUCGAUACUGGCGUGCUUGAGGACUGGAGAGGAGACUGGAAUUCAUGGUGUAGCAGUGAAAUGCGUAGAGAUCAUGAGGAAGACCAGUGGCGAGGGCGGGUCUCUGGACAGUUCCUGACGCUGAGGCACGAAGGCCAGGGGAGCAAACGGG
rnacentral:rRNA from 1 species